GUCGAUGGGAAACGGGUUAAUAUUCCCGUACUUGGUGUUACUGCGAAGGGGGGACGGAGAAGGCUAUGUUGGCCGGGCGACGGUUGUCCCGGUUUAAGCGUGUAGGUGUGUGUUCCAGGUAAAUCCGGUUCACUUUAACACUGAGGCGUGACGACGAGGCACUACGGUGCUGAAGCAACAAAUGCCCUGCUUCCAGGAAAAGCCUCUAAGCAUCAGGUAACAUCAAAUCGUACCCCAAACCGACACAGGUGGUCAGGUAGAGAAUACCAAGGCGCUUGAGAGAACUCGGGUGAAGGAACUAGGCAAAAUGGUGCCGUAACUUCGGGAGAAGGCACGCUGACACGUAGGUGAAGUGAUUUACUCAUGGAGCUGAAGUCAGUCGAAGAUACCAGCUGGCUGCAACUGUUUAUUAAAAACACAGCACUGUGCAAACACGAAAGUGGACGUAUACGGUGUGACGCCUGCCCGGUGCCGGAAGGUUAAUUGAUGGGGUCAGCGCAAGCGAAGCUCCUGAUCGAAGCCCCGGUAAACGGCGGCCGUAACUAUAACGGUCCUAAGGUAGCGAAAUUCCUUGUCGGGUAAGUUCCGACCUGCACGAAUGGCGUAAUGAUGGCCAGGCUGUCUCCACCCGAGACUCAGUGAAAUUGAACUCGCUGUGAAGAUGCAGUGUACCCGCGGCAAGACGGAAAGACCCCGUGAACCUUUACUAUAGCUUGACACUGAACAUUGAGCCUUGAUGUGUAGGAUAGGUGGGAGGCUUUGAAGUGUGGACGCCAGUCUGCAUGGAGCCGACCUUGAAAUACCACCCUUUAAUGUUUGAUGUUCUAACGUGGACCCGUAAUCCGGGUUGCGGACAGUGUCUGGUGGGUAGUUUGACUGGGGCGGUCUCCUCCUAAAGAGUAACGGAGGAGCACGAAGGUUGGCUAAUCCUGGUCGGACAUCAGGAGGUUAGUGCAAUGGCAUAAGCCAGCUUGACUGCGAGCGUGACGGCGCGAGCAGGUGCGAAAGCAGGUCAUAGUGAUCCGGUGGUUCUGAAUGGAAGGGCCAUCGCUCAACGGAUAAAAGGUACUCCGGGGAUAACAGGCUGAUACCGCCCAAGAGUUCAUAUCGACGGCGGUGUUUGGCACCUCGAUGUCGGCUCAUCACAUCCUGGGGCUGAAGUAGGUCCCAAGGGUAUGGCUGUUCGCCAUUUAAAGUGGUACGCGAGCUGGGUUUAGAACGUCGUGAGACAGUUCGGUCCCUAUCUGCCGUGGGCGCUGGAGAACUGAGGGGGGCUGCUCCUAGUACGAGAGGACCGGAGUGGACGCAUCACUGGUGUUCGGGUUGUCAUGCCAAUGGCACUGCCCGGUAGCUAAAUGCGGAAGAGAUAAGUGCUGAAAGCAUCUAAGCACGAAACUUGCCCCGAGAUGAGUUCUCCCUGAGACUUAGAGUCUCCUGAAGGAACGUUGAAGACGACGACGUUGAUAGGCCGGGUGUGUAAGCGCAGCGAUGCGUUGAGCUAACCGGUACUAAUGAACCGUGAGGCUUAACCUU
rnacentral:rRNA from 1 species